ACAGUUUGCAUGUUUGGAAGGAGAGAGGGAAGUGCGUGCUGAGGCGGCAGUGUGAAGGUCUGUGAACUGCAGGAGGGGCAUUCGAGGUUCAGAGAAUGUGAAUCCCACAGUGUGACAUGAAGGAAACACCGAUUUGCACAGUGUUGUGGAUCUUCCUAAGAAGCCGCAUGAUUAAGAUCAGAGUCAAGAACACAACUGUGCAGAUCUCAACCACUGGGACCAUUGCUGUGCACUGAGAUAACCAAAAAAGCUGCUGGGCUGCUGAUAAAUCCUCUGAAGUCUAAAACCUUGGGUUGCCUGAGGUUAAGGAAGCCCUGACAGUCUGCACCAGCUGAAGAUCAGUCCCUGGGUGUCUGAACCCUACAGGGAGUGUUUUUAUUCCAGUGAGCAAGAUGUUUGAGGGAACUGCAGGGACUGUGAUCUGAGAAUACUGAGGGGAAGCAACAGCCAAGACCCAAAUAAUAGUUCCUUUGGUAGCAGCUAACACAUUUCCUGACUGCAGUGUUGUCCAUGUAACUUGAAAAGAAUUCUGAAUGAGUCUGUGGCAGAAUAAACUAGUUAAUGAGAUCA
rnacentral:lncRNA from 1 species